AGCUUUGUGCGGUGGCAGUAUCGAAGCCAAUGAAGUUUAUCCAAGGUGCGAUUGUUGCUAACUGAAAACUUUUCCCAAUACCCCGCCAUGAUGACUUGAAAUAAAAUGUCUUCU
ensembl:snRNA U4 U4 spliceosomal RNA